CAGUAGCCACGGUAAUACGUAGGUGGCAAGCGUUGUCCGGAAUUAUUGGGCGUAAAGCGCGCGCAGGUGGUUCCUUAAGUCUGAUGUGAAAGCCCACGGCUCAACCGUGGAGGGUCAUUGGAAACUGGGGGACUUGAGUGCAGAAGAGGAAAGUGGAAUUCCAAGUGUAGCGGUGAAAUGCGUAGAUAUUUGGAGGAACACCAGUGGCGAAGGCGACUUUCUGGUCUGUAACUGACACUGAGGCGCGAAAGCGUGGGGAGCAAACAGGAUUAGAUACCCGUGUAGUCCCUGUCUCUUAUAC
rnacentral:rRNA from 1 species